GAUGAACGCUGGCGGCGUGCCUAAUACAUGCAAGUCGAACGCUUUGUGGUUCAACUGAUUUGAAGAGCUUGCUCAGAUAUGACGAUGGACAUUGCAAAGAGUGGCGAACGGGUGAGUAACACGUGGGAAACCUACCUCUUAGCAGGGGAUAACAUUUGGAAACAGAUGCUAAUACCGUAUAACAAUGACAACCGCAUGGUUGUUAUUUAAAAGAUGGUUCUGCUAUCACUAAGAGAUGGUCCCGCGGUGCAUUAGCUAGUUGGUAAGGUAAUGGCUUACCAAGGCGAUGAUGCAUAGCCGAGUUGAGAGACUUGAUCGGCCACAAUGGGACUGAGACACGGCCCAUACUCCUACGGGAGGCAGCAGUAGGGAAUCUUCCACAAUGGGCGAAAGCCUGAUGGAGCAACGCCGCGUGUGUGAUGAAGGGUUUCGGCUCGUAAAACACUGUUGUAAGAGAAGAAUGACAUUGAGAGUAACUGUUCAAUGUGUGACGGUAUCUUACCAGAAAGGAACGGCUAAAUACGUGCCAGCAGCCGCGGUAAUACGUAUGUUCCAAGCGUUAUCCGGAUUUAUUGGGCGUAAAGCGAGCGCAGACGGUUAUUUAAGUCUGAAGUGAAAGCCCUCAGCUCAACUGAGGAAUUGCUUUGGAAACUGGAUGACUUGAGUGCAGUAGAGGAAAGUGGAACUCCAUGUGUAGCGGUGAAAUGCGUAGAUAUAUGGAAGAACACCAGUGGCGAAGGCGGCUUUCUGGACUGUAACUGACGUUGAGGCUCGAAAGUGUGGGUAGCAAACAGGAUUAGAUACCCUGGUAGUCCACACCGUAAACGAUGAGUGCUAGGUGUUUGAGGGUUUCCGCCCUUAAGUGCCGCAGCUAACGCAUUAAGCACUCCGCCUGGGGAGUACGACCGCAAGGUUGAAACUCAAAGGAAUUGACGGGGACCCGCACAAGCGGUGGAGCAUGUGGUUUAAUUCGAAGCAACGCGAAGAACCUUACCAGGUCUUGACAUCCCUUGACAACUCCAGAGAUGGAGCGUUCCCUUCGGGGACAAGGUGACAGGUGGUGCAUGGUUGUCGUCAGCUCGUGUCGUGAGAUGUUGGGUUAAGUCCCGCAACGAGCGCAACCCUUAUUACUAGUUGCCAGCAUUCAGUUGGGCACUCUAGUGAGACUGCCGGUGACAAACCGGAGGAAGGUGGGGAUGACGUCAAAUCAUCAUGCCCCUUAUGACCUGGGCUACACACGUGCUACAAUGGCGUAUACAACGAGUUGCCAACCCGCGAGGGUGAGCUAAUCUCUUAAAGUACGUCUCAGUUCGGAUUGUAGAGCUGCAACUCGCCUACAUGAAGUCGGAAUCGCUAGUAAUCGCGGAUCAGCACGCCGCGGUGAAUACGUUCCCGGGUCUUGUACACACCGCCCGUCACACCAUGAGAGUUUGUAACACCCAAAGCCGGUGGGGUAACCUUCGGGAGCCAGCCGUCUAAGGUGGGACAGAUGAUUAGGGUG
rnacentral:rRNA from 1 species